rnacentral:rRNA from 1 species
AACGAACGUUAGCGGCGCGCCUAACACAUGCAAGUCGCACGAGAAAGGGCUUCGGCCCCGGUAAAGUGGCGCACGGGUGAGUAACACGUGGGUAACCUGCCCUCGAGCGGGGGAUAACAUUCCGAAAGGAGUGCUAAUACCGCAUAAGACCACGACCUCGAAAGAGGAUGGGGUAAAAGCUGGCCUCUGUACACAAGCUAGCACUUGAGGAUGGGCCCGCGGCGCAUCAGCUAGUUGGUGGGGUAAUGGCCCACCAAGGCUAAGACGCGUAGCCGGGCUGAGAGGAUGAUCAGCCACACGGGAACUGAGACACGGUCCAGACUCCUACGGGAGGCAGCAGUGGGGAAUCUUGCGCAAUGGGCGAAAGCCGGACGCAGCGACGCCGCGUGAGUGAUGAAGGCAGUCGGGUUGUAAAGCGCUGUGGGGAGAGACGAAUAAGUGCAGCCUAAUACGUUGCAUGAUGACGGUAUCUCCUUAGCAAGCACCGGCUAACUCUGUGCCAGCCGCCGCGGUAAAAC